GAGUAACGCGUAUCCAACCUGCCCAUCACUUGGGAAUAACCUUGCGAAAGUAAGACUAAUGCCCAAUGACAUUUAUAGAAGGCAUCGGAAAUGAAUUAAAGAUUUAUCGGUGAUGGAUGGGGAUGCGUCUGAUUAGCUUGUUGGCGGGGUAACGGCCCACCAAGGCGACGAUCAGUAGGGGUUCUGAGAGGAAGGUCCCCCACAUUGGAACUGAGACACGGUCCAAACUCCUACGGGAGGCAGCAGUGAGGAAUAUUGGUCAAUGGGCGAGAGCCUGAACCAGCCAAGUAGCGUGCAGGAUGACGGCCCUAUGGGUUGUAAACUGCUUUUAUAGGGGAAUAAAGUGAGCCACGUGUGGUUUUUUGCAUGUACCCUAUGAAUAAGGACCGGCUAAUUCCGUGCCAGCAGCCGCGGUAAUACGGAAGGUCCGGGCGUUAUCCGGAUUUAUUGGGUUUAAAGGGAGCGUAGGCCGGAGAUUAAGCGUGUUGUGAAAUGUAGAUGCUCAACAUCUGCACUGCAGCGCGAACUGGUUUCCUUGAGUACGCAUAAAGUGGGCGGAAUUCGUGGUGUAGCGGUGAAAUGCUUAGAUAUCACGAAGAACUCCGAUUGCGAAGGCAGCUCACUGGGGCGCAACUGACGCUGAAGCUCGAAAGCGCGGGUAUCGAACAGGAUUAGAUACCCUGGUAGUCCGCGCGGUAAACGAUGGAUGCCCGCUGUUGGGCCAACUGGUUCAGCGGCCAAG
rnacentral:rRNA from 1 species